rnacentral:rRNA from 1 species
CCUACGGGUGGCAGCAGUGAGGAAUAUUGGUCAAUGGGCGCAAGUCUGAACCAGCCAAGCAGCGUGAAGGAAGACUGCCCUAUGGGUUGUAAACUGCUUUUAUCAAGGAGUAAACUGAGGUACGUGUGUCUUUCUGUAUGUAUUUUACGAAUAAGGAUCGGCUAACUCCGUGCCAGCAGCCGCGGUAAUACGGAGGAUGCGAGCGUUAUCCGGCUUUAUUGGGUUUAAAGGGUGCGUAGUUGGGUGGAUAAGUUAGAGGUGAAAGCCUGCGGCUCAACCGUGGAAUUGCCUGUGAUACUGGCAGGCUAGAGAGUAGUUGCGGUAGGCGGAAUGCAUGGUGUAGCGGUGAAAUGCUUAGAGAUCACAAAGAACACCGAUUGCGAAGGCAGCUUACUAAGCUGCGUCUGACGUUGAGGCACGAAAGCGUGGGGAGCAAACAGGAUUAGAUACCCUAGUAGUC